rnacentral:tRNA from 1 species
AGAAAAAUAAGCUAAAAUAAGCUAAUGAGUUCAUACCUCAUAAAUGGAAAAUAUCCUUUUUCUA